GUUGAACUUGAGUUUGUGGUGUUUGUUGAACUCCAGCUUGUGUUAUGUUUGAACUUGAGGUUGUGGUAUUUUUGAACCUGAGUUUGUGUGUUUUUUUAACUUGAGUUUGUGGCGUGUUUGAACUUGAGAUUGUGGCGUGUUUGAACUUGAGUUUGUGGUGGUUUUUGAACUUGAGGUUGUGAAAAUUGUUAAAACUUGAGAAUCAGGUGUUGGUUGAACUUGAGUUUGUGGUUUUUGUUGAACUUGAUUUUGUGCUUUGUUUGAACUUUAGUUUAUGUUUUUUUUGUACUUGCGUUUGUGUUGUUUUUGAACUUGAGGUUUUGGAAAUUGUAAAAACUUGAGAAUCAUGAGUUUGUGGUUUUUGUUGAACUUGAGUUUGUGUGUUGUUGAACUCAAGAUUUUGUGUUUGUUGAACUUCAAUUUUUGUCGUGUUUGAACUUGAGUUUGUGGUGUUUUUUGAACUUGAGGUUGUGUUGUUUUUGAACUUGAGGUUGUGGAAAUUGUAAAAACUUGAGAAUCAGGUGUUGGUUGAACUUGAGUUUGUGGUUUUUGUUGAACUUGAGUUUGUGUGUUUUUUUAAUUUGAGUUUGUUGUUUCUGAACUUGAGGUUGUGGCAAUUGUUGAACUUGAGAAUUGGGUAUUGGUUGAACUUGAGUUUGUGUGUUUGUUGAACUUGAGUUUGUGUCGUGUUUGAACUUCAGUUUGUGGUGUUUUUUGAACUUUAGGUUGUGGUGUUUUUGAACUUGAGUUUUUGGUAUUUUUGAACUUGAGGUUGUGGCAAUUGUUGAACUUGAGUUUGUGACGUGUUUGAACUUGAUUUUGUGGUGUUAUUGAACUCGAGUUUGUGGUGUUUGUUGAACUUGAGUUUGUGUCGUAUUUGAACUUGAGGUUGUGGUGUUGUUGAACUCGAGUUUUUGUGUUUGUUGUACUUGAGUUUGUGUUGUUUUUGAACUUGAGUUUGUGGUGUUGGUUGAACUUGAAGUUGUGGUGUUUUUGAACUUGAGUUUGUGGCGGUUUUUGAACUUGAGGUUGUGGCAAUUGUUGAACUUGAGUUUGUGACGUGUUUGAACUUGAUUUGCUGGUGUUUUUGAAUUCGAAUUUGUGGUGUUUUUGAACUUGAGUUUGUGGUGUUUGUUGAACUUGAGAAUUGGGUAUUGGUUGAACUUGAGUUUUUGUGUUUGUUGAACUUGAGUUUGUGUCGUGUUUGAACUUGAGUUUGUGGUGUUUUUUGAACUUGAGGUUGUGGUGUUUUUGAACUUGAGGUUGUGGCAAUUGUUGAACUUGAGUUUGUGACGUGUUUGUACUUGAUUUUAUGGUGUUUUUGAACUUGAGUUUGUGUUGUUUUUGAACUUGAGUUUGUGGUGUUUGUUGAACUUGAGUUUGUGUCGUGUUUGAACUUGAGGUUGUGGUGUUUUUGAACUCGAGUUUUUGUCUUUGUUGAACUUCAGUUUGUGUCGUGUUUGAACUUGAGUUUGUGGUGUUUUUUGAACUUGAGGUUGUGGUGUUUUUGAACUUGAGUUUUUGGCGGUUUUUGAACUUGAGGUUGUUGCAAUUGUUGAACUUGAAAAUUGGGUAUUGGUUGAACUUGAGUUUGUGUGUUUGUUGAACUUGAGUUUGUGUCGUGUUUGAACUUCAGUUUGUAGUGUUUUUUGAACUUGAGGUUGUGGUGUUUUUGAACUUGAGUUUGUGGCGGUUUUUGAACUUGAGGUAGUGGAAAUUGUUGAACUUGAGUUUGUGACGUGUUUGAACUUGAGUUUGUGUUGUGUUUGAACUUGAGUUUGUGUUUUUUUAUCUUGAGUUUGUUGUUUCUGAACUUGAGGUUGUGGCAAUUGUUGAACUUGAGUCUGUUGUUUUUAGUGAACUUUAUUUGGUGGCAAUUGUUGAACUUGAGUUUGUGGCAUUUGUUGAACUUGAGUUUGUGACGUGUUUGAACUUGAGUUUGUGUUAUUUUUGAACUUCAGGUUGUGGAAAUUGUUAAACUUGAGAAUUGGGAAUUGGUUGAGCUUGAGGUUGUGGUGUUUUUGAACUUGAGUUUGUGGCGUGUUUGAACUUGAGGUUGUGGAAUUUGUUAAACUUGAGAUUUGGGUGUUGAUUGAACUUGAGUUUGUUUCGUGUUUGAUCUUGAGGUUGUGGUGUUUUUGGACUUGAGGUUGCUUGUUUGUUUAACUUGAGUUUGUGUGUUUUUUAACUUGAGUUUGUGGUUUUUUUUAACUUGAGGUUGUGGUUUUUUGAACUUCAGUUUGUGGAAAUUUUUAAACUUGAGGAUUGGGUGGUGGUUGAACUUGAGUUUGUGGUGUUUUUUGAACUUGAGGUUGUGGUGUUUUUGACUUGAGUUCGUGGCGUGUUUGAACUUGAGGUUGUUGCAAUUGUUAAACUUGAGAUUUGGGUGUUGAUUGAACUUUGCCAUUUGUUGAACUUGAGUUUGUGGUGUUUGUUGAACUCCAGCUUGUGUUGUGUUUGAACUUGAGGUUGUGGUAUUUUUGAACUUGAGUUUGUGGUGUUUUUUUGGACUUGAGUUUGUGGCGUGUUUGAACUUGAGAUUGUGGCGUGUUUGAACUUGAGUUUGUGGUGGUUUUUGAACUUGAGGUUGUGAAAAUUGUUAAAACUUGAGAAUCAGGUGUUGGUUGAACUUGAGUUUGGGUAUUGGUUGAACUUGAUUUUGUGCUUUGUUUGAACUUUAGUUUAUGGUUUUUUUUGUACUUGAGUUUGUGUUGUUUUUGAACUUGAGGUUGUGGAAAUUGUAAAAACAUGAGAAUCAGGUGUUGGUUGAACUUGAGUUUGUGGUUUUUGUUGAACUUGAGUUUGUGUCGUUUUUGAGCUUGAGGUUGUGGUGUUUUUGAACUUGAGUUUGUGUGUUUGUUGAACUUGAGUUUGUGUGUUUUUUUAACUUGAGUUUGUUGUUUCUGAAUUUGAGGUUGUGGCAAUUGUUGAACUUGAGUCUGUUGUUUUUAGUGAACUUUAGUUGGUGGCAUUUGUUGAACUUGAGUUUGUGACGUGUUUAAACAUGAUUUUGUGGUGUUUUUGAACUCGAGUUUGUGGUGUUUUUGAACUUGAGGUUGUUGAAAUUGUUAAACUUGAGAAUUGGGUAUUGGUUGAACUUGAGUUUGUGUGUUUGUUUAACUUGAGUUUGUGUCGUGUUUGGACUUCAGUUUGUGGUGUUUUUUGAACUUGAGGUUGUGGUGUUUUUGAACUUGAGUUUGUGGCGGUUUUUGAACUUGAGGUUGUGGCAAUUGUUGAACUUGAGUUUGUGACGUGUUUGAACUUGAUUUUGUGGUGUUUUUGAACUCGAGUUUGUGGUGUUUUUGAACUUGAGUUUGUGGUGUUUGUUGAACUUGAGUCUGUUGUUUUUAGUGAACUUUAGUUGGUGGCAAUUGUUGAACUUGAGUUUUUGGCAUUUGUUGAACUUGAGUUUGUGACGUGUUUAAACAUGAUUUUGUGGUGUUUUUGAACUCGAGUUUGUGGUAUUUUUGAACUUGAGGUUAUUGAAAUUGUUAAACUUGAGAAUUGGGUAUUGGUUGAACUUGAGUUUGUGUGUUUGUUGAACUUGAGUUUGUGUCGUGUUUGGACUUCAGUUUGUGGUGUUUUUUGAACUUGAGUUUGUGGCGGUUUUUGAACUUGAGGUUGUGGCAAUUGUUAAACUUGAGAAUUGGGAAUUGGUUGAGCUUGAGGUUGUGGUGUUUUUGAACUUGAGUUUGUGGCGUGUUUGAACUUGAGGUUGUGGAAAUUGUUAAACUUGAGAUUUGGGUGUUGAUUGAACUUGAGUUUGUUUCGUGUUUGAUCUUGAGGUUGUGGUGUUUUUUGACUUGAUGUUGCUUGUUUGUUUAACUUGAGUUUGUGUGUUUUUUGAACUUGAGUUUGUGGUUUUUUUUAACUUGAGGUUUUGGUUUUUGAACUUCAGUUUGUGGAAAUUUUUAAACUUGAGGAUUGGGUGGUGGUUGAACUUGAGUUUGUGGUGUUUUUUUGAACUUGAGGUUGUGGUGUUUUUGACUUGAGUUCGUGGCGUGUUUGAACUUGAGGUUGUUGCAAUUGUUAAACUUGAGAUUUGGGUGUUGGUUGAACUUAAAACUUUUCCAUUUUUUGAACUUGAGUUUGUGUUAUUUUUGAACUUGAGGUUGUGAAAAUUGUUAAAACUUGAGAAUCAGGUGUUGGUUGAACUUGAGUUUGUGGUUUUUGUUGAACUUGAUUUUGUGCUUUGUUUGAACUUUAGUUUAUGGGUUUUUUGUACUUGAGGUUGUGUUGUUUUUGAACUUGAGGUUGUGGAAAUUGUAAAAACUUGAGAAUAAGGUGUUGGUUGAACUUGAGUUUGUGGUUUUUGUUGAACUUGAGUUUGUGUAGUUUUUGAGCUUGAGGUUGUGGUGUUUUUGAACUUGAGUUUGCGUGUUUGUUGAACUUGAGUUUGUGUGUUUUUUUAACUUGAGUUUGUUGUUUCUGAACUUGAGGUUGUGGCAAUUGUUGAACUUGAGUCUGUUGUUUUUAGUGAACUUUAGUUGGUGGCAAUUGUUGAACUUGAGUUUGUGGCAUUUGUUGAACUUGAGUUUGUGACGUGUUUAAACAUGAUUUUGUGGUGUUUUUGAACUCGAGUUUGUGGUGUUUUUGAACUUGAGUUUGUGUAGUGUUUGAACUUCAGUUUGUGGUGUUUUUUGAGCUUGAGGUUGUGGUGUUUUUGAACUUGAGUUUGUGGCGUGUUUGAACUUGAGGUUGUGGAAAUUGUUAAACUUGAGAAUCAGGUGUUGGUUGAACUUGAGUUUGUGGUUUUUGUUGAACUUGAGUUUGUGUAGUUUUUGAGCUUGAGGUUGUGGUGUUUUUGAACUUGAGUUUGCGUGUUUGUUGAACUUGAGUUUGUGUGUUUUUUUAACUUGAGUUUGUUGUUUCUGAACUUGAGGUUGUGGCAAUUGUUGAACUUGAGUCUGUUGUUUUUAGUGAACUUUAGUUGGUGGCAAUUGUUGAACUUGAGUUUGUGGCAUUUGUUGAACUUGAGUUUGUGACGUGUUUAAACAUGAUUUUGUGGUGUUUUUGAACUCGAGUUUGUGGUGUUUUUGAACUUGAGUUUGUUGUUUCUGAACUUGAGGUUUUGGCAAUUGUUGAACUUGAGUCUGUGGUUUUUAGUGAACUUUAGUUGGUUGCAAUUGUUGAACAUGAGUUUAUGGCGUUUGUUGAACUUGAGUUUGUGACGUGUUUGAACUUGAGUUUGUGUUAUUUUUGAACUUGAGGUUGUGGCAAUUUCUAAAAUUGAGAUUUGGGUGUUGGUUGAACUUAAAAGUUUGACAUUCGUUGAACUUCAGUUUGUGGUUUUUGUUGAACUUGAGUUUGUGUGGUGUUUGAACUUGAGUUUGUGGGUUUUUUUAACUUGAGGUUGUGGUUUUUUGAACUUCAGUUUGUGGAAAUUUUUAAACUUGAGGAUUGGGUGAACUUGAGUUUGUGACGUGUUUAAACAUGAUUUUGUGGUGUUUUUGAACUCGAGUUUGUGGUGUUUUUGAACUUGAGGUUGUUGAAAUUGUUAAACUUGAGAAUUGGGUAUUGGUUGAACUUGAGUUUGUGUGUUUGUUUAACUUGAGUUUGUGUCGUGUUUGGACUUCAGUUUGUGGUGUUUUUUGAACUUGAGGUUGUGGUGUUUUUGAACUUGAGUUUGUGGCGGUUUUUGAACUUGAGGUUGUGGCAAUUGUUAAACUUGAGUUUGUGACGUGUUUGAACUUGAUUUUGUGGUGUUUUUGAACUCGAGUUUGUGGUGUUUUUGAACUUGAGUUUGUGGUGUUUGUUGAACUUGAGUCUGUUGUUUUUAGUGAACUUUAGUUGGUGGCAAUUGUUGAACUUGAGUUUUUGGCAUUUGUUGAACUUGAGUUUGUGACGUGUUUAAACAUGAUUUUGUGGUGUUUUUGAACUCGAGUUUGUGGUAUUUUUGAACUUGAGGUUGUGGAAAUUGUUAAACUUGAGAAUUGGGUAUUUGUUGAACUUGAGUUUGUGUGUUUGUUGAACUUGAGUUUGUGUCGUGUUUGGACUUCAGUUUGUGGUGUUUUUGAACUUGAGUUUGUGGCGGUUUUUGAACUUGAGGUUGUGGCAAUUGUUGAACUUGAGUUUGUGACGUGUUUGAACUUGAUUUUGUGGUGUUUUUGAACUCGAGUUUGUGGUGUUUUUGAACUUGAGGUUAUUGAAAUUGUUAAACUUGAGAAUUGGGUAUUGGUUGAACUUGAGUUUGUGUGUUUGUUGAACUUGAGUUUGUGUCGUGUUUGGACUUCAGUUUGUGGUGUUUUUUGAACUUGAGUUUGUGGCGGUUUUUGAACUUGAGGUUGUGGCAAUUGUUAAACUUGAGAAUUGGGAAUUGGUUGAGCUUGAGGUUGUGGUGUUUUUGAACUUGAGUUUGUGGCGUGUUUGAACUUGAGGUUGUGGAAAUUGUUAAACUUGAGAUUUGGGUGUUGAUUGAACUUGAGUUUGUUUCGUGUUUGAUCUUGAGGUUGUGGUGUUUUUUGACUUGAUGUUGCUUGUUUGUUUAACUUGAGUUUGUGUGUUUUUUGAACUUGAGUUUGUGGUUUUUUUAACUUGAGGUUUUGGUUUUUGAACUUCAGUUUGUGGAAAUUUUUAAACUUGAGGAUUGGGUGGUGGUUGAACUUGAGUUUGUGGUGUUUUUUUGAACUUGAGGUUGUGGUGUUUUUGACUUGAGUUCGUGGCGUGUUUGAACUUGAGGUUGUUGCAAUUGUUAAACUUGAGAUUUGGGUGUUGGUUGAACUUAAAACUUUUCCAUUUUUUGAACUUGAGUUUGUGUUAUUUUUGAACUUGAGUUUGUGAAAAUUGUUAAAACUUGAGAAUCAGGUGUUGGUUGAACUUGAGUUUGUGGUUUUUGUUGAACUUGAUUUUGUGCUUUGUUUGAACUUUAGUUUAUGGGUUUUUUGUACUUGAGGUUGUGUUGUUUUUGAACUUGAGGUUGUGGAAAUUGUAAAAACUUGAGAAUAAGGUGUUGGUUGAACUUGAGUUUGUGGUUUUUGUUGAACUUGAGUUUGUGUAGUUUUUGAGCUUGAGGUUGUGGUGUUUUUGAACUUGAGGUUGCUUGUUUGUUGAACUUGAGUUUGUGUGUUUUUUUAACUUGAGUUUGUUGUUUCUGAACUUGAGGUUGUGGCAAUUGUUGAACUUGAGUCUGUUGUUUUUAGUGAACUUUAGUUGGUGGCAAUUGUUGAACUUGAGUUUGUGGCAUUUGUUGAACUUGAGUUUGUGACGUGUUUAAACAUGAUUUUGUGGUGUUUUUGAACUCGAGUUUGUGGUGUUUUUGAACUUGAGUUUGUGUAGUGUUUGAACUUCAGUUUGUGGUGUUUUUUGAGCUUGAGGUUGUGGUGUUUUUGAACUUGAGUUUGUGGCGUGUUUGAACUUGAGGUUGUGGAAAUUGUUAAACUUGAGAAUCAGGUGUUGGUUGAACUUGAGUUUGUUUCGUGUUUGAUCUUGAGUUUGUGGUGUUUUUGAACUUGAGGUUGCUUGUUUGUUUAACUUGAGUUUGUGUGUUUUUUUAACUUGAGUUUGUUGUUUCUGAACUUGAGGUUUUGGCAAUUGUUGAACUUGAGUCUGUGGUUUUUAGUGAACUUUAGUUGGUUGCAAUUGUUGAACAUGAGUUUAUGGCGUUUGUUGAACUUGAGUUUGUGACGUGUUUGAACUUGAGUUUGUGUUAUUUUUGAACUUGAGGUUGUGGCAAUUUCUAAAAUUGAGAUUUGGGUGUUGGUUGAACUUGAGUUUGUGGUGUUUUUUGAACUUGAGGCUGUGGUGUUUUUGACUUGAGUUCGUGGCGUGUUUGAACUUGAGGUUGUUGCAAUUGUUAAACUUGAGAUUUGGGUGUUGAUUGAACUUUGCCAUUUGUUGAACUUGAGUUUGUGGUGUUUGUUGAACUCCAGCUUGUGUUGUGUUUGAACUUGAGGUUGUGGUAUUUUUGAACUUGAGUUUGUGGUGUUUUUUUGGACUUGGGUUUGUGGCGUGUUUGAACUUGAGAUUGUGGCGUGUUUGAACUUGAGUUUGUGGUGGUUUUUGAACUUGAGGUUGUGAAAAUUGUUAAAACUUGAGAAUCAGGUGUUGGUUGAACUUGAGUUUGGGUAUUGGUUGAACUUGAUUUUGUGCUUUGUUUGAACUUUAGUUUAUGGUUUUUUUUGUACUUGAGUUUGUGUUGUUUUUGAACUUGAGGUUGUGGAAAUUGUAAAAACAUGAGAAUCAGGUGUUGGUUGAACUUGAGUUUGUGGUUUUUGUUGAACUUGAGUUUGUGUCGUUUUUGAGCUUGAGGUUGUGGUGUUUUUGAACUUGAGUUUGUGUGUUUGUUGAACUUGAGUUUGUGUGUUUUUUUAACUUGAGUUUGUUGUUUCUGAAUUUGAGGUUGUGGCAAUUGUUGAACUUGAGUCUGUUGUUUUUAGUGAACUUUAGUUGGUGGCAUUUGUUGAACUUGAGUUUGUGACUUCUUAAACAUGAUUUUGUGGUGUUUUUGAACUCGAGUUUGUGGUGUUUUUGAACUUGAGGUUGUUGAAAUUGUUAAACUUGAGAAUUGGGUAUUGGUUGAACUUGAGUUUGUGUGUUUGUUUAACUUGAGUUUGUGUCGUGUUUGGACUUCAGUUUGUGGUGUUUUUUGAACUUGAGGUUGUGGUGUUUUUGAACUUGAGUUUGUGGCGGUUUUUGAACUUGAGGUUGUGGCAAUUGUUGAACUUGAGUUUGUGACGUGUUUGAACUUGAUUUUGUGGUGUUUUUGAACUCGAGUUUGUGGUGUUUUUGAACUUGAGUUUGUGGUGUUUGUUGAACUUGAGUCUGUUGUUUUUAGUGAACUUUAGUUGGUGGCAAUUGUUGAACUUGAGUUUUUGGCAUUUGUUGAACUUGAGUUUGUGACGUGUUUAAACAUGAUUUUGUGGUGUUUUUGAACUCGAGUUUGUGGUAUUUUUGAACUUGAGGUUAUUGAAAUUGUUAAACUUGAGAAUUGGGUAUUGGUUGAACUUGAGUUUGUGUGUUUGUUGAACUUGAGUUUGUGUCGUGUUUGGACUUCAGUUUGUGGUGUUUUUUGAACUUGAGUUUGUGGCGGUUUUUGAACUUGAGGUUGUGGCAAUUGUUAAACUUGAGAAUUGGGAAUUGGUUGAGCUUGAGGUUGUGGUGUUUUUGAACUUGAGUUUGUGGCGUGUUUGAACUUGAGGUUGUGGAAAUUGUUAAACUUGAGAUUUGGGUGUUGAUUGAACUUGAGUUUGUUUCGUGUUUGAUCUUGAGGUUGUGGUGUUUUUUGACUUGAUGUUGCUUGUUUGUUUAACUUGAGUUUGUGUGUUUUUUGAACUUGAGUUUGUGGUUUUUUUUAACUUGAGGUUUUGGUUUUUGAACUUCAGUUUGUGGAAAUUUUUAAACUUGAGGAUUGGGUGGUGGUUGAACUUGAGUUUGUGGUGUUUUUUUGAACUUGAGGUUGUGGUGUUUUUGACUUGAGUUCGUGGCGUGUUUGAACUUGAGGUUGUUGCAAUUGUUAAACUUGAGAUUUGGGUGUUGGUUGAACUUAAAACUUUUCCAUUUUUUGAACUUGAGUUUGUGUUAUUUUUGAACUUGAGGUUGUGAAAAUUGUUAAAACUUGAGAAUCAGGUGUUGGUUGAACUUGAGUUUGUGGUUUUUGUUGAACUUGAUUUUGUGCUUUGUUUGAACUUUAGUUUAUGGGUUUUUUGAACUUGAGGUUGUGUUGUUUUUGAACUUGAGGUUGUGGAAAUUGUAAAAACUUGAGAAUAAGGUGUUGGUUGAACUUGAGUUUGUGGUUUUUGUUGAACUUGAGUUUGUGUAGUUUUUGAGCUUGAGGUUGUGGUGUUUUUGAACUUGAGUUUGCGUGUUUGUUGAACUUGAGUUUGUGUGUUUUUUUAACUUGAGUUUGUUGUUUCUGAACUUGAGGUUGUGGCAAUUGUUGAACUUGAGUCUGUUGUUUUUAGUGAACUUUAGUUGGUGGCAAUUGUUGAACUUGAGUUUGUGGCAUUUGUUGAACUUGAGUUUGUGACGUGUUUAAACAUGAUUUUGUGGUGUUUUUGAACUCGAGUUUGUGGUGUUUUUGAACUUGAGUUUGUGUAGUGUUUGAACUUCAGUUUGUGGUGUUUUUUGAGCUUGAGGUUGUGGUGUUUUUGAACUUGAGUUUGUGGCGUGUUUGAACUUGAGGUUGUGGAAAUUGUUAAACUUGAGAAUUAGGUGUUGGUUGAACUUGAGUUUGUUUCGUGUUUGAUCUUGAGUUUGUGGUGUUUUUGAACUUGAGGUUGCUUGUUUGUUUAACUUGAGUUUGUGUGUUUUUUUAACUUGAGUUUGUUGUUUCUGAACUUGAGGUUGUGGCAAUUGUUGAACUUGAGUCUGUUGUUUUUAGUGAACUUUAUUUGGUGGCAAUUGUUGAACUUGAGUUUGUGGCAUUUGUUGAACUUGAGUUUGUGACGUGUUUGAACUUGAGUUUGUGGUGUUUUUGAACUUGAGUUUGUGGUGUUUUUGAACUUGAGUUUGUGUCGUGUUUGAACUUGAGUUUGUGGUGUUUUUUGAGCUUGAGGUUGUGGUGUUUUUGAACUUGAGUUUGUGGCGUGUUUGAACUUGAGGUUGUGGAAAUUGUUAAACUUGAGAAUCAGGUGUUGGUUGAACUUGAGUUUGUUUCGUGUUUGAUCUUGAGUUUGUGGUGUUUUUGAACUUGAGGUUGCUUGUUUGUUUAACUUGAGUUUGUGUGUUUUUUUAACUUGAGUUUGUUGUUUCUGAACUUGAGGUUUUGGCAAUUGUUGAACUUGAGUCUGUGGUUUUUAGUGAACUUUAGUUGGUUGCAAUUGUUGAACAUGAGUUUAUGGCGUUUGUUGAACUUGAGUUUGUGACGUGUUUGAACUUGAGUUUGUGUUAUUUUUGAACUUGAGGUUGUGGCAAUUUCUAAAAUUGAGAUUUGGGUGUUGGUUGAACUUAAAAGUUUGACAUUCGUUGAACUUCAGUUUGUGGUUUUUGUUGAACUUGAGUUUGUGUGGUGUUUGAACUUGAGUUUGUGGGUUUUUUAACUUGAGGUUGUGGUUUUUUGAACUUCAGUUUGUGGAAAUUUUUAAACUUGAGGAUUGGGUGGUGGUUGAACUUGAGUUUGUGGUGUUUUUUGAACUUGAGGUUGUGGUGUUUUUGACUUGAGUUCGUGGCGUGUUUGAACUUGAGGUUGUUGCAAUUGUUAAACUUGAGAUUUGGGUGUUGAUUGAACUUUGCCAUUUGUUGAACUUGAGUUUGUGGUGUUUGUUGAACUCCAGCUUGUGUUGUGUUUGAACUUGAGGUUGUGGUAUUUUUGAACUUGAGUUUGUGGUGUUUUUUGGACUUGAGUUUGUGGCGUGUUUGAACUUGAGAUUGUGGCGUGUUUGAACUUGAGUUUGUGGUGGUUUUUGAACUUGAGGUUGUGAAAAUUGUUAAAACUUGAGAAUCAGGUGUUGGUUGAACUUGAGUUUGGGUAUUGGUUGAACUUGAUUUUGUGCUUUGUUUGAACUUUAGUUUAUGGUUUUUUUUGUACUUGAGUUUGUGUUGUUUUUGAACUUGAGGUUGUGGAAAUUGUAAAAACAUGAGAAUCAGGUGUUGGUUGAACUUGAGUUUGUGGUUUUUGUUGAACUUGAGUUUGUGUCGUUUUUGAGCUUGAGGUUGUGGUGUUUUUGAACUUGAGUUUGUGUGUUUGUUGAACUUGAGUUUGUGUGUUUUUUUAACUUGAGUUUGUUGUUUCUGAAUUUGAGGUUGUGGCAAUUGUUGAACUUGAGUCUGUUGUUUUUAGUGAACUUUAGUUGGUGGCAUUUGUUGAACUUGAGUUUGUGACGUGUUUAAACAUGAUUUUGUGGUGUUUUUGAACUCGAGUUUGUGGUGUUUUUGAACUUGAGGUUGUUGAAAUUGUUAAACUUGAGAAUUGGGUAUUGGUUGAACUUGAGUUUGUGUGUUUGUUGAACUUGAGUUUGUGUCGUGUUUGAACUUUAGUUUGUGGUGUUUUUUGAACUUGAGGUUGUGGUGUUUUUGAACUUGAGUUUGUGGCGGUUUUUGAACUUGAGGUUGUGGCAAUUGUUGAACUUGAGUUUGUGACGUGUUUGAACUUGAUUUUGUGGUGUUUUUGAACUUGAGUUUGUGGUGUUUUUGAACUUGAGUUUGUGGUGUUUGUUGAACUUGAGUCUGUUGUUUUUAGUGAACUUUAGUUGGUGGCAAUUGUUGAACUUGAGUUUUUGGCAUUUGUUGAACUUGAGUUUGUGACGUGUUUAAACAUGAUUUUGUGGUGUUUUUGAACUCGAGUUUGUGGUAUUUUUGAACUUGAGGUUAUUGAAAUUGUUAAACUUGAGAAUUGGGUAUUGGUUGAACUUGAGUUUGUGUGUUUGUUGAACUUGAGUUUGUGUCGUGUUUGGACUUCAGUUUGUGGUGUUUUUUGAACUUGAGUUUGUGGCGGUUUUUGAACUUGAGGUUGUGGCAAUUGUUAAACUUGAGAAUUGGGAAUUGGUUGAGCUUGAGUUUGUGUUAUUUUUGAACUUGAGUUUGUGGCGUGUUUGAACUUGAGGUUGUGGAAAUUGUUAAACUUGAGAUUUGGGUGUUGAUUGAACUUGAGUUUGUUUCGUGUUUGAUCUUGAGGUUGUGGUGUUUUUUGACUUGAUGUUGCUUGUUUGUUUAACUUGAGUUUGUGUGUUUUUUGAACUUGAGUUUGUGGUUUUUUUUAACUUGAGGUUUUGGUUUUUGAACUUCAGUUUGUGGAAAUUUUUAAACUUGAGGAUUGGGUGGUGGUUGAACUUGAGUUUGUGGUGUUUUUUUGAACUUGAGGUUGUGGUGUUUUUGACUUGAGUUCGUGGCGUGUUUGAACUUGAGGUUGUUGAAAUUGUUAAACUUGAGAUUUGGGUGUUGGUUGAACUUAAAACUUUUCCAUUUUUUGAACUUGAGUUUGUGUUAUUUUUGAACUUGAGGUUGUGAAAAUUGUUAAAACUUGAGAAUCAGGUGUUGGUUGAACUUGAGUUUGUGGUUUUUGUUGAACUUGAUUUUGUGCUUUGUUUGAACUUUAGUUUAUGGGUUUUUUGUACUUGAGGUUGUGUUGUUUUUGAACUUGAGGUUGUGGAAAUUGUAAAAACUUGAGAAUAAGGUGUUGGUUGAACUUGAGUUUGUGGUUUUUGUUGAACUUGAGUUUGUGUAGUUUUUGAGCUUGAGGUUGUGGUGUUUUUGAACUUGAGUUUGCGUGUUUGUUGAACUUGAGUUUGUGUGUUUUUUUAACUUGAGUUUGUUGUUUCUGAAUUUGAGGUUGUGGCAAUUGUUGAACUUGAGUCUGUUGUUUUUAGUGAACUUUAGUUGGUGGCAUUUGUUGAACUUGAGUUUGUGACGUGUUUAAACAUGAUUUUGUGGUGUUUUUGAACUCGAGUUUGUGGUGUUUUUGAACUUGAGGUUGUGGAAUUUGUUAAACUUGAGAAUUUGGUAUUGGUUGAUCUUGAGUUUGUGGUUUUUUUUGAACUUGAGUUUGUUUCGUGUUUGAACUUGAGGUUGUGGUUUUUUGAACUUGAGGUUGUGGUGUUUUUGAACUUGAGUUUGUGGCGGUUUUUGAACUUGAGGUUGUGGCAAUUGUUGAACUUGAGUUUGUGACGUGUUUGAACUUGAUUUUGUGGUGUUUUUGAACUCGAGUUUGUGGUGUUUUUGAACUUGAGUUUGUGGUGUUUGUUGAACUUGAGUCUGUUGUUUUUAGUGAACUUUAGUUGGUGGCAAUUGUUGAACUUGAGUUUUUGGCAUUUGUUGAACUUGAGUUUGUGACGUGUUUAAACAUGAUUUUGUGGUGUUUUUGAACUCGAGUUUGUGGUAUUUUUGAACUUGAGGUUAUUGAAAUUGUUAAACUUGAGAAUUGGGUAUUGGUUGAACUUGAGUUUGUGUGUUUGUUGAACUUGAGUUUGUGUCGUGUUUGGACUUCAGUUUGUGGUGUUUUUUGAACUUGAGUUUGUGGCGGUUUUUGAACUUGAGGUUGUGGCAAUUGUUAAACUUGAGAAUUGGGAAUUGGUUGAGCUUGAGGUUGUGGUGUUUUUGAACUUGAGUUUGUGGCGUGUUUGAACUUGAGGUUGUGGAAAUUGUUAAACUUGAGAUUUGGGUGUUGAUUGAACUUGAGUUUGUUUCGUUUUGAUCUUGAGGUUGUGGUGUUUUUUGACUUGAUGUUGCUUGUUUGUUUAACUUGAGUUUGUGUGUUUUUUGAACUUGAGUUUGUGGUUUUUUUAACUUGAGGUUUUGGUUUUUGAACUUCAGUUUGUGGAAAUUUUUAAACUUGAGGAUUGGGUGGUGGUUGAACUUGAGUUUGUGGUGUUUUUGAACUUGAGGUUGUGGUGUUUUUGACUUGAGUUCGUGGCGUGUUUGAACUUGAGGUUGUUGCAAUUGUUAAACUUGAGAUUUGGGUGUUGGUUGAACUUAAAACUUUUCCAUUUUUUGAACUUGAGUUUGUGUUAUUUUUGAACUUGAGGUUGUGAAAAUUGUUAAAACUUGAGAAUCAGGUGUUGGUUGAACUUGAGUUUGUGGUUUUUGUUGAACUUGAUUUUGUGCUUUGUUUGAACUUUAGUUUAUGGGUUUUUUGUACUUGAGGUUGUGUUGUUUUUGAACUUGAGGUUGUGGAAAUUGUAAAAACUUGAGAAUAAGGUGUUGGUUGAACUUGAGUUUGUGGUUUUUGUUGAACUUGAGUUUGUGUAGUUUUUGAGCUUGAGGUUGUGGUGUUUUUGAACUUGAGUUUGCGUGUUUGUUGAACUUGAGUUUGUGUGUUUUUUUAACUUGAGUUUGUUGUUUCUGAACUUGAGGUUGUGGCAAUUGUUGAACUUGAGUCUGUUGUUUUUAGUGAACUUUAGUUGGUGGCAAUUGUUGAACUUGAGUUUGUGGCAUUUGUUGAACUUGAGUUUGUGACGUGUUUAAACAUGAUUUUGUGGUGUUUUUGAACUCGAGUUUGUGGUGUUUUUGAACUUGAGUUUGUGUAGUGUUUGAACUUCAGUUUGUGGUGUUUUUUGAGCUUGAGGUUGUGGUGUUUUUGAACUUGAGUUUGUGGCGUGUUUGAACUUGAGGUUGUGGAAAUUGUUAAACUUGAGAAUCAGGUGUUGGUUGAACUUGAGUUUGUUUCGUGUUUGAUCUUGAGUUUGUGGUGUUUUUGAACUUGAGGUUGCUUGUUUGUUUAACUUGAGUUUGUGUGUUUUUUUAACUUGAGUUUGUUGUUUCUGAACUUGAGGUUUUGGCAAUUGUUGAACUUGAGUCUGUGGUUUUUAGUGAACUUUAGUUGGUUGCAAUUGUUGAACAUGAGUUUAUGGCGUUUGUUGAACUUGAGUUUGUGACGUGUUUGAACUUGAGUUUGUGUUAUUUUUGAACUUGAGGUUGUGGCAAUUUCUAAAAUUGAGAUUUGGGUGUUGGUUGAACUUAAAAGUUUGACAUUCGUUGAACUUCAGUUUGUGGUUUUUGUUGAACUUGAGUUUGUGUGGUGUUUGAACUUGAGUUUGUGGGUUUUUUAACUUGAGGUUGUGGUUUUUUGAACUUCAGUUUGUGGAAAUUUUUAAACUUGAGGAUUGGGUGGUGGUUGAACUUGAGUUUGUGGUGUUUUUUGAACUUGAGGUUGUGGUGUUUUUGACUUGAGUUCGUGGCGUGUUUGAACUUGAGGUUGUUGCAAUUGUUAAACUUGAGAUUUGGGUGUUGAUUGAACUUUGCCAUUUGUUGAACUUGAGUUUGUGGUGUUUGUUGAACUCCAGCUUGUGUUGUGUUUGAACUUGAGGUUGUGGUAUUUUUGAACUUGAGUUUGUGGUGUUUUUUUGGACUUGAGUUUGUGGCGUGUUUGAACUUGAGAUUGUGGCGUGUUUGAACUUGAGUUUGUGGUGGUUUUUGAACUUGAGGUUGUGAAAAUUGUUAAAACUUGAGAAUCAGGUGUUGGUUGAACUUGAGUUUGGGUAUUGGUUGAACUUGAUUUUGUGCUUUGUUUGAACUUUAGUUUAUGGUUUUUUUUGUACUUGAGUUUGUGUUGUUUUUGAACUUGAGGUUGUGGAAAUUGUAAAAACAUGAGAAUCAGGUGUUGGUUGAACUUGAGUUUGUGGUUUUUGUUGAACUUGAGUUUGUGUCGUUUUUGAGCUUGAGGUUGUGGUGUUUUUGAACUUGAGUUUGUGUGUUUGUUGAACUUGAGUUUGUGUGUUUUUUUAACUUGAGUUUGUUGUUUCUGAAUUUGAGGUUGUGGCAAUUGUUGAACUUGAGUCUGUUGUUUUUAGUGAACUUUAGUUGGUGGCAUUUGUUGAACUUGAGUUUGUGACGUGUUUAAACAUGAUUUUGUGGUGUUUUUGAACUCGAGUUUGUGGUGUUUUUGAACUUGAGGUUGUUGAAAUUGUUAAACUUGAGAAUUGGGUAUUGGUUGAACUUGAGUUUGUGUGUUUGUUUAACUUGAGUUUGUGUCGUGUUUGGACUUCAGUUUGUGGUGUUUUUUGAACUUGAGGUUGUGGUGUUUUUGAACUUGAGUUUGUGGCGGUUUUUGAACUUGAGGUUGUGGCAAUUGUUGAACUUGAGUUUGUGACGUGUUUGAACUUGAUUUUGUGGUGUUUUUGAACUCGAGUUUGUGGUGUUUUUGAACUUGAGUUUGUGGUGUUUGUUGAACUUGAGUCUGUUGUUUUUAGUGAACUUUAGUUGGUGGCAAUUGUUGAACUUGAGUUUUUGGCAUUUGUUGAACUUGAGUUUGUGACGUGUUUAAACAUGAUUUUGUGGUGUUUUUGAACUCGAGUUUGUGGUAUUUUUGAACUUGAGGUUAUUGAAAUUGUUAAACUUGAGAAUUGGGUAUUGGUUGAACUUGAGUUUGUGUGUUUGUUGAACUUGAGUUUGUGUCGUGUUUGGACUUCAGUUUGUGGUGUUUUUUGAACUUGAGUUUGUGGCGGUUUUUGAACUUGAGGUUGUGGCAAUUGUUAAACUUGAGAAUUGGGAAUUGGUUGAGCUUGAGGUUGUGGUGUUUUUGAACUUGAGUUUGUGGCGUGUUUGAACUUGAGGUUGUGGAAAUUGUUAAACUUGAGAUUUGGGUGUUGAUUGAACUUGAGUUUGUUUCGUGUUUGAUCUUGAGGUUGUGGUGUUUUUUGACUUGAUGUUGCUUGUUUGUUUAACUUGAGUUUGUGUGUUUUUUGAACUUGAGUUUGUGGUUUUUUUUAACUUGAGGUUUUGGUUUUUGAACUUCAGUUUGUGGAAAUUUUUAAACUUGAGGAUUGGGUGGUGGUUGAACUUGAGUUUGUGGUGUUUUUUUGAACUUGAGGUUGUGGUGUUUUUGACUUGAGUUCGUGGCGUGUUUGAACUUGAGGUUGUUGCAAUUGUUAAACUUGAGAUUUGGGUGUUGGUUGAACUUAAAACUUUUCCAUUUUUUGAACUUGAGUUUGUGUUAUUUUUGAACUUGAGGUUGUGAAAAUUGUUAAAACUUGAGAAUCAGGUGUUGGUUGAACUUGAGUUUGUGGUUUUUGUUGAACUUGAUUUUGUGCUUUGUUUGAACUUUAGUUUAUGGGUUUUUUGUACUUGAGGUUGUGUUGUUUUUGAACUUGAGGUUGUGGAAAUUGUAAAAACUUGAGAAUAAGGUGUUGGUUGAACUUGAGUUUGUGGUUUUUGUUGAACUUGAGUUUGUGUAGUUUUUGAGCUUGAGGUUGUGGUGUUUUUGAACUUGAGUUUGCGUGUUUGUUGAACUUGAGUUUGUGUGUUUUUUUAACUUGAGUUUGUUGUUUCUGAACUUGAGGUUGUGGCAAUUGUUGAACUUGAGUCUGUUGUUUUUAGUGAACUUUAGUUGGUGGCAAUUGUUGAACUUGAGUUUGUGGCAUUUGUUGAACUUGAGUUUGUGACGUGUUUAAACAUGAUUUUGUGGUGUUUUUGAACUCGAGUUUGUGGUGUUUUUGAACUUGAGUUUGUGUAGUGUUUGAACUUCAGUUUGUGGUGUUUUUUGAACUUGAGUUUGUGGUGUUUUUGAACUUGAGUUUGUGGCGUGUUUGAACUUGAGGUUGUGGAAAUUGUUAAACUUGAGAAUCAGGUGUUGGUUGAACUUGAGUUUGUUUCGUGUUUGAUCUUGAGUUUGUGGUGUUUUUGAACUUGAGGUUGCUUGUUUGUUUAACUUGAGUUUGUGUGUUUUUUUAACUUGAGUUUGUUGUUUCUGAACUUGAGGUUGUGGCAAUUGUUGAACUUGAGUCUGUUGUUUUUAGUGAACUUUAGUUGGUGGCAAUUGUUGAACUUGAGUUUGUGGCAUUUGUUGAACUUGAGUUUGUGACGUGUUUAAACAUGAUUUUGUGGUGUUUUUGAACUCGAGUUUGUGGUGUUUUUGAACUUGAGUUUGUGUAGUGUUUGAACUUCAGUUUGUGGUGUUUUUUGAGCUUGAGGUUGUGGUGUUUUUGAACUUGAGUUUGUGGCGUGUUUGAACUUGAGGUUGUGGAAAUUGUUAAACUUGAGAAUCAGGUGUUGGUUGAACUUGAGUUUGUUUCGUGUUUGAUCUUGAGUUUGUGGUGUUUUUGAACUUGAGGUUGCUUGUUUGUUUAACUUGAGUUUGUGUGUUUUUUUAACUUGAGUUUGUUGUUUCUGAACUUGAGGUUUUGGCAAUUGUUGAACUUGAGUCUGUGGUUUUUAGUGAACUUUAGUUGGUUGCAAUUGUUGAACAUGAGUUUAUGGCGUUUGUUGAACUUGAGUUUGUGACGUGUUUGAACUUGAGUUUGUGUUAUUUUUGAACUUGAGGUUGUGGCAAUUUCUAAAAUUGAGAUUUGGGUGUUGGUUGAACUUAAAAGUUUGACAUUCGUUGAACUUCAGUUUGUGGUUUUUGUUGAACUUGAGUUUGUGUGGUGUUUGAACUUGAGUUUGUGGGUUUUUUAACUUGAGGUUGUGGUUUUUUGAACUUCAGUUUGUGGAAAUUUUUAAACUUGAGGAUUGGGUGGUGGUUGAACUUGAGUUUGUGGUGUUUUUUGAACUUGAGGUUGUGGUGUUUUUGACUUGAGUUCGUGGCGUGUUUGAACUUGAGGUUGUUGCAAUUGUUAAACUUGAGAUUUGGGUGUUGAUUGAACUUUGCCAUUUGUUGAACUUGAGUUUGUGGUGUUUGUUGAACUCCAGCUUGUGUUGUGUUUGAACUUGAGGUUGUGGUAUUUUUGAACUUGAGUUUGUGGUGUUUUUUUGGACUUGAGUUUGUGGCGUGUUUGAACUUGAGAUUGUGGCGUGUUUGAACUUGAGUUUGUGGUGGUUUUUGAACUUGAGGUUGUGAAAAUUGUUAAAACUUGAGAAUCAGGUGUUGGUUGAACUUGAGUUUGGGUAUUGGUUGAACUUGAUUUUGUGCUUUGUUUGAACUUUAGUUUAUGGUUUUUUUUGUACUUGAGUUUGUGUUGUUUUUGAACUUGAGGUUGUGGAAAUUGUAAAAACAUGAGAAUCAGGUGUUGGUUGAACUUGAGUUUGUGGUUUUUGUUGAACUUGAGUUUGUGUCGUUUUUGAGCUUGAGGUUGUGGUGUUUUUGAACUUGAGUUUGUGUGUUUGUUGAACUUGAGUUUGUGUGUUUUUUUAAUUUGAGUUUGUUGUUUCUGAAUUUGAGGUUGUGGCAAUUGUUGAACUUGAGUCUGUUGUUUUUAGUGAACUUUAGUUGGUGGCAUUUGUUGAACUUGAGUUUGUGACGUGUUUAAACAUGAUUUUGUGGUGUUUUUGAACUCGAGUUUGUGGUGUUUUUGAACUUGAGGUUGUUGAAAUUGUUAAACUUGAGAAUUGGGUAUUGGUUGAACUUGAGUUUGUGUGUUUGUUUAACUUGAGUUUGUGUCGUGUUUGGACUUCAGUUUGUGGUGUUUUUUGAACUUGAGGUUGUGGUGUUUUUGAACUUGAGUUUGUGGCGGUUUUUGAACUUGAGGUUGUGGCAAUUGUUGAACUUGAGUUUGUGACGUGUUUGAACUUGAUUUUGUGGUGUUUUUGAACUCGAGUUUGUGGUGUUUUUGAACUUGAGUUUGUGGUGUUUGUUGAACUUGAGUCUGUUGUUUUUAGUGAACUUUAGUUGGUGGCAAUUGUUGAACUUGAGUUUUUGGCAUUUGUUGAACUUGAGUUUGUGACGUGUUUAAACAUGAUUUUGUGGUGUUUUUGAACUCGAGUUUGUGGUAUUUUUGAACUUGAGGUUAUUGAAAUUGUUAAACUUGAGAAUUGGGUAUUGGUUGAACUUGAGUUUGUGUGUUUGUUGAACUUGAGUUUGUGUCGUGUUUGGACUUCAGUUUGUGGUGUUUUUUGAACUUGAGUUUGUGGCGGUUUUUGAACUUGAGGUUGUGGCAAUUGUUAAACUUGAGAAUUGGGAAUUGGUUGAGCUUGAGGUUGUGGUGUUUUUGAACUUGAGUUUGUGGCGUGUUUGAACUUGAGGUUGUGGAAAUUGUUAAACUUGAGAUUUGGGUGUUGAUUGAACUUGAGUUUGUUUCGUGUUUGAUCUUGAGGUUGUGGUGUUUUUUGACUUGAUGUUGCUUGUUUGUUUAACUUGAGUUUGUGUGUUUUUUGAACUUGAGUUUGUGGUUUUUUUUAACUUGAGGUUUUGGUUUUUGAACUUCAGUUUGUGGAAAUUUUUAAACUUGAGGAUUGGGUGGUGGUUGAACUUGAGUUUGUGGUGUUUUUUUGAACUUGAGGUUGUGGUGUUUUUGACUUGAGUUCGUGGCGUGUUUGAACUUGAGGUUGUUGCAAUUGUUAAACUUGAGAUUUGGGUGUUGGUUGAACUUAAAACUUUUCCAUUUUUUGAACUUGAGUUUGUGUUAUUUUUGAACUUGAGGUUGUGAAAAUUGUUAAAACUUGAGAAUCAGGUGUUGGUUGAACUUGAGUUUGUGGUUUUUGUUGAACUUGAUUUUGUGCUUUGUUUGAACUUUAGUUUAUGGGUUUUUUGUACUUGAGGUUGUGUUGUUUUUGAACUUGAGGUUGUGGAAAUUGUAAAAACUUGAGAAUAAGGUGUUGGUUGAACUUGAGUUUGUGGUUUUUGUUGAACUUGAGUUUGUGUAGUUUUUGAGCUUGAGGUUGUGGUGUUUUUGAACUUGAGUUUGCGUGUUUGUUGAACU